GGUUUCCUUCCGAUCAACGAGGUACAUCCUUGUUGACCGGAAGGGUUUCCUUCUGGUCACCUCAUCAACCGGGAGGAAACCCUUCUGAUUGAUGAGGUACAUCUACCUCAUCGACCGGAAGGAAACC
rnacentral:miRNA from 1 species